rnacentral:rRNA from 1 species
UGAGGAAUAUUGGUCAAUGGACGCGAGUCUGAACCAGCCAUGCCGCGUGCAGGAAGAAUGCCCUACGGGUUGUAAACUGCUUUUAUAUAGGAAUAAACGCUAGAACGUGUUCUAGCCUGAAGGUACUAUACGAAUAAGCACCGGCUAACUCCGUGCCAGCAGCCGCGGUAAUACGGAGGGUGCAAGCGUUAUCCGGAUUUAUUGGGUUUAAAGGGUGCGUAGGCGGGACAUUAAGUCAGUGGUGAAAUCUUUCGGCUCAACCGAGAAACUGCCAUUGAUACUGAUGUUCUUGAAUUUGAUUGAAGUGGGCGGAAUGAGGCAUGUAGCGGUGAAAUGCAUAGAUAUGCCUCAGAACACCGAUUGCGAAGGCAGCUCACUAAGUCAAUAUUGACGCUGAGGCACGAAAGCGUGGGUAGCGAACAGGAUUAGAUACCCUGGUAGUCCACGCUGUAAACGAUGAUUACUAGUUGUUGGCGAUACACAGUCAGUGACCAAGCGAAAGUGAUAAGUAAUCCACCUGGGGAGUACGUUCGCAAGAAUG